rnacentral:rRNA from 1 species
GACGAACGCUGGCGGCGUGCCUAAUACAUGCAAGUAGAACGCUGAAGAGAGGAGCUUGCUCUUCUUGGAUGAGUUGCGAACGGGUGAGUAACGCGUAGGUAACCUGCCUGGUAGCGGGGGAUAACUAUUGGAAACGAUAGCUAAUACCGCAUAACAACAGUUGUUGCAUGACAGCUGUUUAAAAGAUGCAAUUGCAUCACUACCAGAUGGACCUGCGUUGUAUUAGCUAGUUGGUGAGGUAACGGCUCACCAAGGCGACGAUACAUAGCCGACCUGAGAGGGUGAUCGGCCACACUGGGACUGAGACACGGCCCAGACUCCUACGGGAGGCAGCAGUAGGGAAUCUUCGGCAAUGGGGGGAACCCUGACCGAGCAACGCCGCGUGAGUGAAGAAGGUUUUCGGAUCGUAAAGCUCUGUUGUAAGAGAAGAACGGGUGUGAGAGUGGAAAGUUCACACUGUGACGGUAGCUUACCAGAAAGGGACGGCUAACUACGUG